UACGUAGGGGGCUAGCGUUGUCCGGAAUCAUUGGGCGUAAAGCGCGCGUAGGCGGCCCGGUAAGUCCGCUGUAAAAGUCAAAGGCUCAACCUUUGAAUGUCAGUGGAUACUGCCGGGCUAGAGUCCGGAAGAGGCGAGUGGAACUCCUGGUGUAGCGGUGGAAUGCGCAGAUAUCAGGAGGAACACCGAUGGCGAAGGCAGGUCUCUGGGCCAUAACUGACGCUGAGAAGCGAAAGCAUGGGGAGCGAACAGG
rnacentral:rRNA from 1 species